UACGGAGGGGGCUAGCGUUGUUCGGAAUUACUGGGCGUAAAGCGCACGUAGGCGGACUGGAGAGUCAGGGGUGAAAUCCCGGGGCUCAACCCCGGAACUGCCUUUGAAACUCCCGGUCUUGAGGUCGAGAGAGGUGAGUGGAAUUCCGAGUGUAGAGGUGAAAUUCGUAGAUAUUCGGAGGAACACCAGUGGCGAAGGCGGCUCACUGGCUCGAUACUGACGCUGAGGUGCGAAAGCGUCGGGAGCGAACAGG
rnacentral:rRNA from 1 species